UACGGAGGGGGCGAGCGUUAUUCGGAAUUAUUGGGCGUAAAGGGCGCGUAGGCGGCCUUGUAAGUCAAAGGUGAAAUCCCUCGGCUCAACUGAGGAACUGCCUUUGAAACUGCAAGGCUUGAGGCCGGGAGGGGGUAGCGGAAUUCCCAAUGUAGCGGUGAAAUGCGUAGAUAUUGGGAGGAACACCAGUGGCGAAGGCGGCUACCUGGAACGGUUCUGACGCUGAGGCGCGAAAGCGUGGGUAGCAAACAGG
rnacentral:rRNA from 1 species